UACGAAGGGUGCAAGCGUUAAUCGGAAUUACUGGGCGUAAAGCGUGCGUAGGCGGUUUGUUAAGUCUGUUGUGAAAUCCCCGGGCUCAACCUGGGAAUGGCAUUGGAAACUGGCUCGCUGGAGUGUGGCAGAGGGGGGUGGAAUUCCGCGUGUAGCAGUGAAAUGCGUAGAGAUGCGGAGGAACACCGAUGGCGAAGGCAGCCCCCUGGGCUAACACUGACGCUCAGGCACGAAAGCGUGGGGAGCAAACAGG
rnacentral:rRNA from 1 species